GAUGAACGCUGGCGGCGUGCCUAAUACAUGCAAGUCGAGCGCGAGAAUGAGGAGCUUGCUCCUCAUAAUCGAGCGGCGGACGGGUGAGUAACACGUAGGCAACCUACCCUUGAGAUUGGGAUAACUACCGGAAACGGUAGCUAAUACCGGAUACGACUUUUCCACACAAGUGGAAUUGUUAAAAGGCGGAUUUAUCUGCCGCUCAUGGAUGGGCCUGCGGUGCAUUAGCUAGUUGGUGAGGUAGUGGCUCACCAAGGCGACGAUGCAUAGCCGACCUGAGAGGGUGAGCGGCCACACUGGGACUGAGACACGGCACAGACUCCUACGGGAGGCAGCAGUAGGGAAGCUUCCGCAAUGGACGCAAGUCUGACGGAGCAACGCCGCGUGAGUGAUGAAGGGUUUCGGCUCGUAAAACUCUGUUGUUAAGGAAGAACACUUGAGGUAGUAACUGGCCUUGAGAUGACGGUACUUAACCAGAAAGCCACGGCUAACUACGUGCCAGCCGCCGCAGUAA
rnacentral:rRNA from 1 species